rnacentral:rRNA from 1 species
ACGCUCGACACCUACGGGAAGCAGCAGUCGGGAAUAUUGCGCAAUGGAGGAAACUCUGACGCAGUGACGCCGCGUAUAGGAAGAAGGUUUUCGGAUUGUAAACUAUUGUCGUUAGGGAAGAAAAAAGACAGUACCUAAGGAGGAAGCUCCGGCUAACUACGUGCCAGAAGCCGCGGUAAUCUGAGCGGGCUGGCAAGGC